rnacentral:tRNA from 1 species
GUGUGUGUAGCUCAGUUGGUAGAGCACUAGACUGUGACUCUGGUGGUCGAGGGUUCGAGCCCCUUCACACACCCCA